rnacentral:rRNA from 1 species
CUCGCUGUGAAGAUGCAGUGUACCCGCGGCAAGACGGAAAGACCCCGUGAACCUUUACUAUAGCUUGACACUGAACAUUGAGCCUUGAUGUGUAGGAUAGGUGGGAGGCUUUGAAGUGUGGACGCCAGUCUGCAUGGAGCCGACCUUGAAAUACCACCCUUUAAUGUUUGAUGUUCUAACGUGGACCCGUGAUCCGGGUUGCGGACAGUGUCUGGUGGGUAGUUUGACUGGGGCGGUCUCCUCCUAAAGAGUAACGGAGGAGCACGAAGGUUGGCUAAUCCUGGUCGGACAUCAGGAGGUUAGUGCAAUGGCAUAAGCCAGCUUGACUGCGAGCGUGACGGCGCGAGCAGGUGCGAAAGCAGGUCAUAGUGAUCCGGUGGUUCUGAAUGGAAGGGCCAUCGCUCAACGGAUAAAAGGUACUCCGGGGAUAACAGGCUGAUACCGCCCAAGAGUUCAUAUCGACGGCGGUGUUUGGCACCUCGAUGUCGGCUCAUCACAUCCUGGGGCUGAAGUAGGUCCCAAGGGUAUGGCUGUUCGCCAUUUAAAGUGGUACGCGAGCUGGGUUUAGAACGUCGUGAGACAGUUCGGUCCCUAUCUGCCGUGGGCGCUGGAGAACUGAGGGGGGCUGCUCCUAGUACGAGAGGACCGGAGUGGACGCAUCACUGGUGUUCGGGUUGUCAUGCCAAUGGCACUGCCCGGUAGCUAAAUGCGGAAGAGAUAAGUGCUGAAAGCAUCUAAGCACGAAACUUGCCCCGAGAUGAGUUCUCCCUGACCCUUUAAGGGUCCUGAAGGAACGUUGAAGACGACGACGUUGAUAGGCCGGGUGUGUAAGCGCAGCGAUGCGUUGAGCUAACCGGUACUAAUGAACCGUGAGGCUUAACCUUACAACGCCGAAG